rnacentral:rRNA from 1 species
GACGAACGCUGGCGGCGUGCUUAACACAUGCAAGUCGAACGGUAAGGCCCUGCUUUUGUGGGGUGCUCGAGUGGCGAACGGGUUAUUAACACGUGAGUAACCUGCCCUUGACUUUGGGAUAACUUCGGGAUACUGGGGCUAAUACCGGAUAGGCGCUCCUGCUGCCUGGUGGGGGUUGGAACGGUUCGGCGGUUGGGGAUGUACUCGCGGCUUAUCAGCUUGGUGGUGGGGGAGUGGCUUACCAAGGGUUUGGCGGGUAGCCGGCCUGAGAGGGUGACCGGCCACAUGGGGACUGAGAUACGGCCCAGAGUACUACGGGAGACAGCAGUGGGGAAUAUUGCACAAUGGGCGGAAGCCUGAUGCAGCAACGCCGCGUUAGGGAUGACGGCCUUCGGGUUGAAAACAGGUUUCGCCUGUGACGAAGCGUGAGUGACGGUAAUGGGUAAAGAAGCACCGGCUAACUACGUG